UACACUCCUACGGGAGGCAGCAGUGGGGAAUAUUGCACAAUGGGCGCAAGCCUGAUGCAGCCAUGCCGCGUGUAUGAAGAAGGCCUUCGGGUUGUAAAGUACUUUCAGCGGGGAGGAAGGCAAUACGGUUAAUAACCGUGUUGAUUGACGUUACCCGCAGAAGAAGCACCGGCUAACUCCGUGCCAGCAGCCGCGGUAAUACGGAGGGUGCAAGCGUUAAUCGGAAUUACUGGGCGUAAAGCGCACGCAGGCGGUCUGUCAAGUCGGAUGUGAAAUCCCCGGGUUCAACCUGGGAACUGCAUUCGAAACUGGCAGGCUUGAGUCUUGUAGAGGGGGGUAGAAUUCCAGGUGUAGCGGUGAAAUGCGUAGAGAUCUGGAGGAAUACCGGUGGCGAAGGCGGCCCCCUGGACAAAGACUGACGCUCAGGUGCGAAAGCGUGGGGAGCAAACAGGAUUAGAAACCCGAGUAGUCCCAUG
rnacentral:rRNA from 1 species